UUUGCUUCUCUCCUCUGAGCCUCGGUUUCCCCAUCUGUAAAAUGGAACUGGACAUUCUCAGUAUAUUCCAAGACUCUUCCACCGGCUCCUUCGUGGCCUAUACUCUCCUCCCAGGUGCUGUCAUUCAGCCUCGGGCCUUUGACAGUCAUCUACACAUCGAUGGUUCUCAAAGAUACACCACACCCAGACUGAUUAAAAAAAAAAAUCCUCCGCUUUCUGGAAGGCUGGGAACGUGUUCUGUUGUUCCCAAUGAUGUCCGGUUUAGAAAAGGGAAUAUGGAGAGCAACGACCGCGUACGUCAAAGGAACACCGUGCUCGGUUUUGUUCAGAACUUUCCCAGGAGUCGUUCGCUGCCUUAGAAAAAGCACAUGAGCAAUGCCAACGCCAUUCAUGGAAUUCGAGUCUCCACUACAACAAGCCUGUGUGGGCCUGCACGGGGAGCUGCCAGACCAGAAGGAUUCUGGGGAGGGACCCUAGCACCUGGAACGUCGUUAUGCAUUUCUUCUAGCGUGGUCCUGCCCAGCACUUGCAUGUUGACAUACGUCCUAUUUUAUUCUCAAUUAUUUUCCUCUUAUUUUUUUUUUAAGUGCUUGUUAAUGUAUUUUGG